UCUCCCCUUUUUUGAAAGACAGAAACCGACAGUCUGGUCCGGAGAAAUCCUUUGCUGCCUUUCCACGACACAGGAGCACUAAUGAAAGAAAUGGAAAAAAACAAACAUUUAAUCCAAAAAAGUGUUUCUACUCAAGCCAAGACUGGACUCAAGUCAAAAAAAGAACUUCUUCAAAGAGAAGCAAAGAAGAGACAGUGAUCUGCAAUGAUCUGGGGAUGCUUCAGCAAGGCUGGAAUUGGGCAGUUUGGUCUUUGCGAAUGACGCAUGAAUCAAGCUGCAUACAAGGUUAUCCUGGAAGAAAACUUCCUUCUAUCUACUCUACCAAUGUUCCCAACUCUGGGGAAUGUUUUUCUUUUUCUAUCAGGACAAUGCUCAAUUCCACACAGCUAGAUCAAUUAGGGUGUGGAUGAAGAACCACCAGAUCAUGGUGUCAUGGCCAGCACAAUCUCCAGCCCUGAACCCCAUUGAAAACCUAUGGAAUGUAAUCAAGAGGUAGAUGGUCACAAGCCAUCAAGCUGAACUGCUUGAAUUUUUUGCCAGGAGUCUCAUAAGUGGCAAAGCAGUUUGAAAGACUGAAAGACUCUUUCUUAGUUACUUUUGUAUUGUUGUUUCUAAAUAAAUAUAUUAACUUUU